ensembl:Y_RNA Y_RNA Y RNA
GGCUGGUCUGAAGGUAGUGUGUUAUCUCAAUUAAUUGUUUGCAGUCAGUUACAGAUCAAACUCCUUGUCCUUCUCUUUUUGUCCUUCUCACUACUGCACUCACGACGACAACA